GUACUGCUCCCUUUUUUGGGUGCUGCUGGUUUGAUAAAGACAUAAUUAUCGUUCACUGCGCGAACCCACGUAAUACGUAGUAUUCUGCUUGGUGUCAUAAACUUUCCAGCAACUGUUAUGACUGUUUUCUAUUCAUCACUCCAGCACACAGCCGGCAUUGCAGACACCUAGAACUGGAGCGUCAUGUGUUCACACUUCGUUCAGAGUACAAUCCAGGAGCAUCACACGACGAUGAAACAGGCAGUAACGGUGCUGGUUCUAAUAGUGAAAAUUUCAGUUGCUCUACGGACCCCUGAUAUCCACUGCCCUGUGAGAUACAAUGAAAGUGGGUGCUUUUUUCUAGGUCACUAUGUUCGACCUGGUCAAACUAUGGAACUUAAAAAUCCCUGUGUUUUUAUUUCAUGUUCUCUGAGUGGACUGACAGUUUCAAUCACUGGGU